rnacentral:rRNA from 11 species
UGAGUAACGCGUAGGAAUCUGCCUAGUAGUGGGGGAUAGCUCGGGGAAACUCGAAUUAAUACCGCAUACGACCUACGGGUGAAAGGGGGCGCAAGCUCUUGCUAUUAGAUGAGCCUAAAUCAGAUUAGCUAGUUGGUGGGGUAAAGGCCUACCAAGGCGACGAUCUGUAGCGGGUCUGAGAGGAUGAUCCGCCACACUGGGACUGAGACACGGCCCAGACUCCUA